CAUAAACAAAAAAGAAGGGCGAACGUUAAGAAAGAAAAGUGAAAGACGCGAUAAUCAUAAUGAAAUAUAACAGAAAAAAAAAGAGAUUUAAGCGUCGCCGGUCGAGUAAAAGCGAUAACAAUUCAGUGGCGUAUGGAUAUUAGUACAGUUGUUAAGUGGGAAAGAUACGCCCCACAGUUUUACGGCUUGCGUUGAAUCGGAGCGCAAUUUGGAACGAGGACAAGGAGAUCUCGUUGCUUCUAUGAAACUGUAUGUACACUCUUGCGUAGUUCGAUCGACCGAGUUAUACAUAAAAUGUCUUCGUCUAUAUCUACCAAUUGGGAAAUUAUUUCCAAUAUUUGAGAAAAUGCAGACAGACAAAUUUGGAGUUAUAUGUAGUAUAAAUAUCAUCCAGAAUCAUGUUAUAGAUCAUUUCGACUCAUCUGGUGCUACGUAAAAGGCUAAGAUACUAAGACUAAAUAAUAUAAAUAAGGAAAUGAUUUAUAAUAAAAAUACCCUAAAGUAAUAAAAAUAAAAUUAAGUUUUAGAACUGUUUAUGGAAAACAUAUAUGAGGAAGAUUAUUGUCACAGAUCCCCUGGCAUUCCUCGAUUGCAUCCCUAUUCGAAUACCUUCUUUAGUAUGCUAUCGAAGCGAAACCUAUCACAAGAAAUUUCCUUUCAAACGUUUUACAUUUCCCCGCAGCUAAAACGCAAAGUUCACGAUUCGUCGAGAACUCAACGAAAUGAUAAAAAUAUCCAUACUCGAUACUUUCUUUGCUCGUGAGCUACUUUAGUUAGAUACUGCGCAUCGGAGGAGAUUACGUAAUAUACAAGACCUGCCACGAUUUAUAACGCAAAGACACGUAAAUCGAUCGUGUCCUUUGAGAUAAAGUUUCAUCGGGAGAAAAGUGGGUCGUGAUUCUUACGUGUUUCACUCGCUCCACUUCAGAGCUAUAAUUUAAACGACAACCAGCGAUUCCAUCAUCUUUUUGCGUAACAAAUCUGUCAAGAAAAUGUACAAUUGGCUUCUUUUAAUCGAAUAUUGUUCACAGUCGAGGACUUCGUUUCGAUGCUCUGCCAUUUUCUCGACCUCGCGCGCCAUGACACGAACAAUGAUACAUUUUGUCGCUCCAUCUAAAUUUCGAGGUAUACUAUCCGCGUAUAUCUGUGCGUGGAUUCGCGCAAAAUCUUAGCAAGUGUCAAUGGCAAGUAAACGAAAGGACCAGUGAUCAUAGAAGUUUUAUCGUAGUGUUUUUUCAGUAUUCGAAUUCUGUUCAAUAGCAGAGUGAAAAGAGAAUGUAGGCCAAGAGGUAGAAAGAAAAAGAUUGCGCACGACUAACCUUCCGGCAAAUGGAUACAAAAGGACACCGGGUGUACGCGGAGGUAAUUGAGAUGCGGAAGGUAACUGUUCAAAUACGAGAUCCUCGACAAUUUCAAUUAUUGUCUUUGAAAGUGUAUAGACAAAGAGCCGGGAACGCGAGUAUCGCAUACAUAUACGUAUUAUACGUGCAAGAGAUUUCACGAUGAGAACGCACAAGGAAGAAUCGUUCUCGAUAAAACGACAGAACCUGCUAAUUCAGAUGGAAGCGUUCAAAAUAUGCUGCACCGAGGAGAAAUUUCAAUUUGAGGAGCUGAAGUACGCUUCAGGGAUAAUAAGUUCCAACUCUCAAGAGGAAAAAGCAAACCAGCAUCGAUUUAAAAACCCAAAAAACACCGGUGCCAUUGAUAGAGAAUUCGAAUAUCGUCCAGACUUCGACGAUGUUUUGAUGCUCAAAAAAUUUUCGCUAUUUUCAUAUUUUCAUUGGUCGGUGAGAACCGAGUGGAAACCGAGAACGUUCCGUUAAAAAUCGGAAAGCUUUCCAAGCGAGAGGUAAUUGUAACCCCGGGCGAAAAUUAAUGGACCACUGUAUAUUAACGAUACAAAAUACGUUAUUCAUCCAAUAAUGGAUACUCCAAGCGUUCGACGCGGUUGCAUCGAAAAAUAAAAAUAGUAUACUAUACGGUCGAUGUACUAUGGCGGAACAGAGUUCGCAAGAUAUUUCAUAAUUUGACUAUUUUUCGAGGAGCUGCAUGUCACGCGCGAACGUUCAACCUCGUUUCCAAGUUCGUGAGAGCACGCUGUUGUGCUCAGGAAUAAGGAAGAAUCAAUGAAAAUUUAGAUAAUUGAUCCUUCUUGUAAUCUGUGCUUAAUUGUAUCAAGCACGACUUUUUAAAGGUUGAAAAAGUACGAUCUAAUUCUCUUGUACGUUACUUAGUUUUCUUUUUUCUAUGUUUUUACACAUGAUAUUAUUUCAUCAAUUCCUAAAUACAGAAACAUAUCUUUCCUGAUAUUUUUAUAAAGACAUAAUACACCAAAAUUUAAGACCAAAUUUUCAAAUCUUUUUCUUUCGUCAAUGUGAAAACAAACUUAAGGAAGAAUCGUAGGGAGCUAAUUGUAUAAAAAUAUAUCUUAAUCGUUAUUUCCUACCAAAAAUAACUGUAUUUAAAUAACAGAAGCGAACUAUAAGCGUCUCUGAACAGACGUCUGCGUCUGUGAAUAAUCUAAUCGUUCCCCCAGAAAGAAAUCGGAGAAUUGGAGCUCUUUUUCGAAGAGGGAUCGUAUCUGGUAUAUAUGCCGAAUGUAUGACGCAGCCACCGCAAGUAAUCAACUUUCUAAUUAUAAAUGAGAGACGGCGCGAAUAGUGCACGAAGGGAAGCUUGAACUCUCGACGUGAGGUCACUUUCCACCGAUAAGCUGUUAAUACUUAAUUACCAAUGAAUGUCGAUACUGUCGACGCCAGUUGUUCGCGUAAUGACGUUCGCUGAUAACGCGAUUCCAUCGACUCUUGCGCGAAACGCUUCCGUAAUUAUUUCCACAUUUUCUGUUUGCCCGAGCUCGGUAAAUUUUUAUGAUCAAUCCUGCGAUUAUUUUUGAAAGGAGAAGCGCGGUCAAUAACGAGGUUAAGCGAGUUAUUAUCUCGAAAAUAAUACCGAUGAUAUCCAUUGUACGAUGAAGAAAUUUGUAUAAAUGGUGAUUCAUAUAACGAAUGAUCGAUCCUAUUGCGAAUAGGAAUUUUCAUUCUUUUUGAGAGAAUGGAUACAAAAAAUAUAAUUUAUGUAAUAUAAUAUAAAAGCGGUUAAUUUCAUGAUUCCAUAGUAUCACAAUAUAAAAGAGGCUUUUUGUACCAUUGUUCUUGACGAAUAGUAAUACUUUAAUUACGCGUACGUUUGACAAUGAAAAAAGGUAUUAAUAUAAUAUUACAGAAAACAAUGGUAUCAAGUUCAUUGUGUUAAAAUAGUACUUCAAUCGGAAAGAAAUUACAUGAUCGUGUUACGGGAGAAUAUAAUCUUUUCAUCUGCUAAUAAAGCCACUCCAUAUAUCGAACGAUAUAGUCUCCUAAAUAAUUGUAAAAUUAUUGAAAGAUAUUCAUCAGAGACAAAACUUAGCAAGUAUUCACGAGCACAUGUACGAGUUCGACGUGACUAAGAAGCGUUCGCCGAUAACACUUGCGGAGGAGCGUUUCGCCAUUACGUUCGCUUCUAGGUUGCAGCUCGUAUUCCCGUAAUGUGACAGCGAUACGGGGAAAACCAAGACGGAACCCCAGAAGGCUCGAAGCAAGAUAUUAAUAUGGGUGAGGAGUCGAUAUACACCUGCUGCCUCCCUCUUGGGAUCGCACCCUUUAUGUAACUAAACCUCUCGUCGUGUAUUUGGUCACACGCACGAAACGCGUCCAUGUGCGUCGUGUUACGUGUGCACGAGCACCGACGAACGCCAGAAUACCGCUUGUGAUUACGAGAUACAACCGUCUCCGGGGAGAUUUCUAAGGAAGAACGAUGUCGACGCUGAGGGAACACUCACAUGUACACUUACGUAUUUACGUAAGUAGAUGAAGGAUCAUAUGGGUCACUACCGACGUCCUUCCGGCGUCCUAUCUCCUCCGCGUGUUCCUUAAGCGGUUUAAAUGGAAGGGACUGACAGCUCGUUUGAAAAAAAAAACAAGGGGAAAGCGAGGAUUUUGGUAACGCCGAGCUUGCCGGUGUUAACUGGGACGAACAGGGUGUUACGAAGAUUAGAAACGUCACACAUGAUUCUUUAUAUACAUUAAGGAAUCUGUAUGUAUAUGCAUGUUUCGUGUUUCUCGAAGCUCUUUUUCUUGAUACGUUGUUUGGAGUGUGGAAAUGAAAAUGGAGCGGUCCUACGUUAGUUUUUGAACAGUCUAAUUUUAAUUUACGAGUAGCUACUGGAGAAUUAGGUUGGUGGAGAAUGCUUGGAUCUGGCAUCAUGGUGAUGGUUGAGUUUAGUUGUAGCUAACGUUUGGGCUUGGCUCGGAUACAUUAAACAGAGUAAGUUUCACGGAGGAGAGGAUGAAAUUAUGUAGCGUUUUAUUGAUAGUUCUACUCGAUAGAAAAAUACUCUUGAGACACACGUGACAUUGAUAACGAUGUGAAAUUUAAAGGAAGGUUAAGAGGACAAAGAUGUUCAUAAUUAACAGCAUGUACUUACGUGAGCAGACUUGCUUGUUUCUCUCAACCGUUUUUAAAAACGUCCGCAGAAAAAAUACUUGAUCGACAUAAUGUUGCAGCUUUCCUCGAUGUAAUCAUGCACCGAGGCAAUGUCAUAACGAAGUGUGAAACCGAGAAAAAUAUAUCCACUGUCUUACGAAGAUUGUAACACAAAUUCGACAAGCGUUCGUUUCAUUACAGAUACCGAUCGCAUAGAACAUAAAAUACACACGAUCACUUUAUCCGCUAUUUUCUCAAAAAAAUUGAGAAGAUUAUAAUUUCAUCGUAUUCGAACAAUAUUAUUUUAGAAUCAAAUUAUUAUUUUAUCAAUUAUUCUUCUAUAGACGCUUUCAUCCAUAAACGUAAUUCAGUUUAUAACGGAUAUACUUUAAUCAUUGCUAUUUAGUCUUGCGAAUGGAAUCUCCCGUUUCUGAAGAUACUCGCGCGGCACGAAGUAACUUGCGAAACUAAUUGGAAGAAUUGUGGCGCGCCUUUGUUAUUGACGCGGCGUGAUUGAAGCGCUACACUAUAAUUUCCGUUCCUAUCUCUGCUCGUAUAAACACAUAGCACGCGAUACAAUAAAGUGCACAGAUGUCAAACAAGGCGCAGCUGUGCAUUGUAGGAAACUUGUAUUUUUCAGCGGAUUGUUAAGAUUACGCGGCUUGAUCCAUCUAAUGGGAUAUCCCUGGGGAUCAACUUCAUCUGGACAAUCGAAACGGGUAUAUAUCAGAGUAUACGUCUAAGAAGAUAAUAAGAGGUAAGACAUAUUGCAUUUUACAGGGACAGUCGCAGAGUGUACAGUGUUUCAAUUUCAGAUCUAAAGGCUGUUCUAAAAAUAAAUGAAAGAAAAGAAGAAUAUUGCAGUUAGUUAUUCUAGAAAUGAAUUGAAGGAAGAGAAUCGAACUUUUGUUCAAGAUAAAUAUAAUUUUUAAGGAUUCGACAAAACGUGGAGUUGAUCGAUAUAGCUUCUGAGAGAUUCGUGUUAUAUUCUCGAUAAAUUUUCAAACUCGAUUUUCUGAAGAACCAAGUCUCAAACGAAAGAAUUUUCCGAAAGAAAGGUCAAAUUACCAACUGUAAUGAUUUUGAAAAGAAAUUUCAGUGAAUUGUAAACGAGAGAGAUCUCGAGAUUUGAUUAGAUCAUCGUCGUUCGCGUGUUCCUCUUAACAAUUCUGUCAAGGAUCAACAGAAUAAAAAUGAAAAACUCGGUGAACAAUCUCGCGUUCGUUCGUCCUAAUCGGUACGGAGAUCUUUCGUAGAAAAAGCGUGGAGUGGCGACCAGAAAAUUACGAACAAACGAUAAUGACCACGUUAUGGUAACGGGCCAGAUAAUGAGAACUGCUCGCGUAAAUCUUCAGUUGCGUGGUCAUUUAUCCAAGGGGGGUGUACGCGGGAUUUAAAACCUACUCUACGAGGCCAUGUCCUCGGUAAUUUUCUUUCACUGGUACAAGAAAGCACGAAAAAGAGAUUCGUUCCCGCAUCAAAACUACGGGUCGACAGGAGAAAGCACGUAAAACGGAAAAAGCAAAAAAGAAGGCCAUUUUUCCAGUCGGUGUAAUUAUCAACGAUAUUCUUUUUUCUCCGUUCCUUCUUUCUUCGUUAUUACACCUACUGUAGAGUGAACGAUAAUCGGGCGACAAAGAGACAAGGUGGAGGCAAUGCAAUAAACGAAAUUCCUUUUAAUCCCGUAGCUAAAACCUUUUCUCCUUAAUGUCUAGUUUCCAGGAUCGGGAUGGUUUGCAAGGAUGAUUAGCAGUCUUUGUAUAUCUCAUCUUCUUUUUUUCGUUCUAUCCUGCAUUCGCUUUUCUAGCGAAUGCAAAUGAAUAAAAAAGAGAAAAGGGGAUGAAGAACGUCGAGGAUAACAAGUAGGUAUUUGCUGUCACGUUGUCUGCGCUAUAUAGUACGUAACAGUAUAUCCCUAUUACUCUCGAUCUCGUUAAUAUCGUAUUGGAAAUCGUUAAUUCCUUCUGUUAUGCGACGACAAUGUUCUUUGUCGCGAAAUGUAAUUCCUUAUUGGAUUUGUGAAUCCUUAAUCUUAACAAGAAACCAUUUUCACCGCGUUUUAUUAUUCUUCGAUUGUGACUUUUAUCUUUGUUGCAAUUUGUGACAAACACUCAUUAUUUUGUAUAAGAAAAUACUUGGUUUUUAUAUGCGGAGUAUUAUACGUGGAAUGUUUAUUGAUACGACGUUUACAUUAAAUUUUUAUCAACAGAAUAUUCGUAAAAGCUAUGAACGUAAUUGGUGAAAAAGUACGUAAUGUAGUAAAUGCAUGUAAUGUAUGUAUGUAAUGAACGUAAAUUAUGAAAAAUUCAGUGUAAAUCAUGAAAUUCGAUCAACGGUAAUUCAUGGAAAUGUUUAUAAUAUAAGCACCUAAUGAAAAUCCGAUUAACAGCGCACGUGUUAAAAUCUAUGGUCAAUUAAGAUCUCUUAUCUAUUAUUUAUUACAAUCUAUUACAAUCUAUUUCAUAAACAAAUCGAAUCUCUUAUUUACGAUCAUGUAGCCACAGUAAACCAACGCAAUGAUCAUAGUACAUCGACACUAGAUAAAAGAAUUCAAAGCAAAAGUUGAUCCGGAUAGCUGAUCGAAAGCAACCGGUUUGGAGAGCAUGCAUUUCAUGUUCCUACGGAUAUAGAAACGUAUCGAGCAAACGCGAGUUUGCUUCUUUGUCGGUGGAGCCACCCUGUUCUCCGAGAAGUUUUCUGAAUAUUUCAGGCCACGUGACGCGACAGGAAAUUGCGUAAACUUUUCAAAUAAGCCAGAUGAUUGUGUAAAUACUGUAAACCAUUCAAGGAAUGCGUUACUUGCUACCGCUCACUUCGUCUCAACGUUAAUCAGAAGCUCGUUAAAGACACUUCUGAGGUGUAUCUGACGUGUUUGAGAUUAAUUUCAGAAACUCUAGUUGCUGAUUAGAACCUCUGUGUUAUUGAGUUUUCUUCUUCGAAUCCUUCAUUCCUGACAACAAAGUUGUUCCGCUGUUGUAAUGAACUUGAAAGAUAACUUUAGAAAGAAGAAUAUUCUUCUUUGGUAUA